rnacentral:rRNA from 1 species
UACGUAGGCAGCGAGCGUUGUUCGGAGUUACUGGGCGUAAAGGGUGUGUAGGCGGUUCUUUAAGUUUGGUGUGAAAUCUCCCGGCUCAACCGGGAGGGUGCGCCGAAUACUGAGGGACUAGAGUGUGGGAGAGGAAAGUGGAAUUCCUGGUGUAGCGGUGAAAUGCGUAGAUAUCAGGAGGAACACCGGUGGUGUAGACGGCUUUCUGGACCAUAACUGACGCUGAGACACGAAAGCGUGGGUAGCAAACAGG